rnacentral:tRNA from 1 species
ACCAGCGUGGCAUAGUUGUUUGAGUGUUGGACUAGGACUCUGGAGACCAGGGUUUGAAUCCCGGCUUGGUC